UUUCUCACUGUCGGGGUCGUUCUUCUCCUUUGAUUAGGCGUAUUCCUAUGUGAUGCUACUUGUGGAGUUAUUUUUGAACGGGAUACUUUUUCCAGAUUUCUUCCUCUGAGAAUACAUAGUUGGCAGGAGCUGUUUGUGCCGGGGAUGGCGGCGCACCCUGCAGCGGCAUCAUCUGUGAGGGCUGUGACCAGCCCCCUUCCCUGAUGGAGCUCCAGGGCCUCGAACUGCAUGGCACAUGGCUUCCCCAAGGCAGCAAACGCCUUUCAUCAGCGGCCCCUCACGCAGAGGACUACAAGGCUGCCCAAGCAGAAACCCCUGAGAGGCUCAUUGGACUGCAAUGGCUAGCCACGAUCAUGGACAGCCCCAAGUCCAUCAAGGAAGAACUGGCCAAGCUGCUGCCCUGGGCAGUGUUUAUUCUGGCUCCUGGGGCUUCAGACCUUGAUGGAUAAUAAAGCCAUUUAC